rnacentral:lncRNA from 1 species
ACUACUACUAGCACCAUCAUGCACAACACUACAUCUCUCACCUCUGUUUGGAUUACUCUCACCACCAUAGCUUUCAAAAAGCUUCAACAACAACUUUUUAAUGUUAACUCUCAAUUCAUCAACCUUUCUAGUAUCAUACAAGCUACUAAAACACCAUAUAACAAAGUCAAGGUUGUAGCAAGGAUCAAGCACAUUUGCCACAAUCAACAACAGGUUAACCUUUUCAAAAGAAUGACCCCAAUACUUGACAAACUUUUCCUCCAUCUUGUAACCCAUUUGAUUUAACAAAAAAUCAUUAAAAUCAACAAGUGAC